rnacentral:tRNA from 1 species
GCCCGGAUGGUCUAGUGGCAUGAUUCGCCCUUAGGGUUCUCUCUACAUGGGCGAGGUCCCCGGUUCAAUCCCGGGUUCGGGCC